rnacentral:rRNA from 1 species
AUGGACCUUAGGGCUGUAAAAUAUGCACAUAAACUGUUUAGCAUACAGCAAAAUGCUUUUAUCAAGGGGAGGCAUAUAGUAGAUGGCAUUUUAUCCCUACAUGAGAUUAUGCACUACACUCAUAUCAAAAAACAAAAAGGAGUGAUUCUCAAACUUGACUUUGAGAAGGCCUAUGACAAAGUCAAUUGGGACUUUUUGCUAGAAUGUCAUGUUAAACGUGGUUUUAACCAAAAAUGGUGUGGAUGGGUAAAUCAGAUCCUAAGGAAUGGGACGGUUAGUGUUAAGAUCAAUGAUGAGUUAGGACCAUAUAUACAGAGUGCUAAAGGGGUCAGACAAGGUGAUCCACACGCUCCGUUCCUGUUUAAUCUUGCGGCAGAAUGCCUAACUAAGAUGAUGACCUCGGCCCAGAAAAAUGGCCUCGUCAAAGGAUGA